AAAGGAAUAGACGGGAGCCCGCACAAGCAGUGGAGUAUGUGGUUUAAUUCGACGCAACGCGAAGAACCUUACCAGGACUUGACAUCCUAGGGACCUGGCGUAAUGGCCGGGGUGCCCCUUCGGGGGAACCUAGAGACAGGUGGUGCAUGGUUGUCGUCAGCUCGUGUCGUGAGAUGUUGGGUUAAGUCCCGCAACGAGCGCAACCCUUACUGUCAGUUGCUACGCAAGAGCACUCUGACGGGACUGCCGUUGACAAAACGGAGGAAGGUGGGGAUGAUGUCAAAUCAUCAUGCCCCUUACGUUCUGGGCUACACACGUACUACAAUGGCGAAAACAAAGGGGAGCGAAGCCGCGAGGUGGAGCAAAUCCCAAAAAAAUCGUCCCAGUUCAGAUUGCAGGCUGCAACCCGCCUGCAUGAAGUUGGAAUUGCUAGUAAUCGCGGAUCAGCAUGCCGCGGUGAAUACGUUCCCGGGCUUUGUACACACCGCCCGU
rnacentral:rRNA from 1 species